rnacentral:snRNA from 1 species
AUUUCUUGGGCAGUACAUCCUAAAAUUGAUCCUGAGAAGAUUGGAAUGAUCCUUGCAUAAGGAAGACACACAAGUUCAUCAGUUAUGCUAUAGUUUU